rnacentral:misc_RNA from 1 species
AAGUCGUAACAAGGUUUCCGUAGGUGAACCUGCGGAAGGAUCAUUACCGCUCUCUUUUUUUUUUGUUUUCAAAUUCGUGUGAAUGCCAGUGAAUCAACAAAUUGUUGUUUUUGUGUUGGUGUGUGUGCAUUGUUUUGUGUUUGCUUGUUGGUUGUGUGUGUGAAUGUGAGUGUGUGUGUGCAUGAAUGUGUGUGAGAGUGAAAGAGUGCCAGUCACUCCAAUUUCAUUUUCACAUUUGUGUGAACACACUGCCAAACACACACACACAACCAAUCAAACACAAAAGCAAUGUGUGCCAACACUGUUUUUCAUUUUCAAACACAAAUCAAAACAACACAAACAUGUUGCAAUCGUCAAAUUCAAAUUUCAAAUUCAAAUUCAAUAAUUCAAAUCGAAUCACAACUCUUGACAAUGGAUAUCUUGGUUCUC